rnacentral:rRNA from 1 species
UGUGUAGGCGGCUUUGUUAGUCCUUCGUGAAGGGCCACUGGCUCAACCAGAGGACCGCGGGGGAAACGGCAAGGCUUCGAGGAUGCGAGAGGUAAAGGGAACUCAUGGUGUAGGGGUGAAAUCCGUUGAUAUCAUGGGGAACACCAAAUGCGAAGGCACUUUACUGGCGCACUCCUGACGCUGAGACACGAAAGCGUGGGUAGCGAACG